GAGCCUGCGCCUGUGGGGGGUCCGCGAGCGCAGCCUCCUCCGCAAGGGCCUAGGACCCCCGCCUCAGGGUUUUCGCUUUGGCCUCAGUUUCCACAUCCACAGGCCGGGAGGGAAAUCCCAUUCUGCAGGCGCCUGAGACUGUUCCUCCCCCGAAGGAAAGAGAACUCGAGCCUCAUUUCCCCGUCUGCGGUCUGACUUCCACCGACCCCUUAGGCCUUCCACCCCUCGCGCUGCACUUUCCGCCAAGAUAGCGGGGCGUCAGGCCUGAGAGCCUACACGGGAAAGGGGGCCUGUCGGUCCCUGCCAACCGAGCCCCCAGCCCAGCAGCAGGGCUCCGGGUGAUGUGACGGUGGGCUCCUGGGUCCUGAGAAACAAGAGAAGAACCUUAGAUUUUGCGGUGGAACCUGAGUCCAGAUAGGAGGCCUCAACACGGACACCUUUCCAGAGGGGAGACAUCAUUCAGAGAGAUUAAGCAACUUGCCUGAGGUCACAUAGCUGGAGGCAGAGGAGACAAAACGCAAACCUGGGUUUGCCUGAGGCCAGAGCUCCAGCUCUGAACUACUGUUGUUCUGCAAGCCUCUGGUCACCUCUUGUUGUUCUGCCACCUUUGAAGAAGCCCAGGGCCCCGAGGAGACCUUUCCUCUAGUCCCUAACUCAGUUUCUAGCUAGUACUGUGUGCUCAGGAAGGAAGGAGGGAGGGAAGGAGGGAAAGAGGCAAGGGAGGAAGGAGUCAGGCAGGCAGGCGACAAGUCAUGCUUUUAGCCACGGCCUAGCCCCAGGCUGGAAUCACCUUUCUAGAGCUGGGGCCAGUGCCCCAGGCAGCAAGGCAGUUGUUGGGUCACUGCUGGGCCCUCACUCUUUUUCUAAAAAUACCAAGAGGAGAGCCCUCCCAGGCCACCUAACAGAUAUCCAGUUGCUCCUGGGGUCAGUUCUGUGCAGCCCAAUCCUGCCACCUGGCACCUGCUCCCUCUGGCCCCUGCCUGACAGCUGAUCCUGUCAUCCCCGUGCAUUUUACCACAAGGCAAAGUCCAGUUCUGCAGAGGUGGGAACUCUGGGCAGCCAGGCCCGGCCUGGCCUGGCCCCGCCCUUGCUGAGCUGCUGGGCAUCCAGGUAGUUCCGGGGUGUUUUCCCCAAAGCGCAGUCCGAGCAAACCCUUCUUUGCUGGGGCUCUGUUCCCAUGGCUGCCAGUGCCUCCAGCCCCUUUGGAGUUUGAACAGCGGCCAGGUUCCGGGAUGUGGACCCCAGCCUCUGAGUCGGGCCCCAGCACUGCCCUCAACAGCUGUGUGACCUAGGACCUCUGUUAGCUUCCUAUAAAUGCCAGAAUAAUAAGAUUACAAAGCAGUGAAGGCAUUAUCCUGUUUUGAAAGAUACAUAUUAUGUGCAGAGAUGCAAUAAGUAAAAUGUUAACAGUGUCCUCUCUAGGCCCGAGGAUUUGAGCUGCCCUUAUUCUUUGGGUUUUGUCUCUAUUUCCUAAUUUUUCCUCAAGAAAAAAUCCUAAUAUUUUCCUAGUAUUUCCUGUUUUUUCCUCAAAGAACACAUACAGUAAAAGGAAAAAUGUUAGAACAACCCCACAAUAGAUAUUUAAGUAUUUGUCUUGACUUUCAGGACAGUUUGAGGAGAAUGUUAAUGAAAGUGGGUUGCAGACUUUAAAGGGCUUUGCAGUGUCUGGGGUUCUUGAUACCGUUUCCCAAGAGGCAUUUUGGAGCUGGACCUGCAGUGGGUGUGUGUGUGUGGGGGGGGUCCCCACACCUGGAAACCCUAAAAUCAGCUGCCCCACCUGGAGCUUCAUCCUUCCUCACCAGGUAGGAAGGGGAGAGAAUGCUGGUCCAUGUAAUGCAGCAUAGGCAUGGGCAAGGCCGUGGCUAUAAUGCGCCAGCCUGCACUGCAGAUAAGUCAGCAGCAUUGCUUGAGAGCCCACUGUGUGCAGUGCCCUCCCUGUACUCUGUUCUGAGAAGAUAGCUCUGUUUGCUUUCCCGUGUCAAUAAACAGUUACCGGGCAUCUCUGUAUUUAAGGAAGUCAGAGAGAGGGCAUGGCCACGAAGUGAUUAAUUUAGAUGGCUGGGGGUGGGGGCGGCUUUGGGAGGAUUACACAAGGGGAGAGAGCAUGUGAGAGAGACAAAUGGAGUGAGAAAGCAGGAGGAGAACUGAUAGACUUUAAUUGUCAUCUCAGCCAGAUCUUGAGGGACAAGAAGAAUCCUCUGGAGGUCAGAGUCCUGCCUUGGGAACCACUACCCUAAUGGGAAAGACUGGUUUCCAAGUGGGUGUCUGUGUAACCCAUAAUAAUUUUCAGGGAUCAGUACAAAAUGAUCCUGAGGGCCCAUAGUUCAGAAUUUAUUAAGAAUUUCAGGAUUGGAGUUCCCAUCAUGGCUUGGUGGAAACAAAUCUGACUAGGAACCAUGAGGUUUUGGGUUUGAUCUCUGGCCUCGCUCAGUGGGUUAAGGAUCUGGCAUUGCUGUGGCUGUAUUGUAGGCCAGCAGCUGUAGCUCUGAUUUGACCCCUAGCCUGGGAACCUACAUAUGCCCCAAGUGUGACCCUAAAAAAAAAAAAAAAAAAA
ensembl:lncRNA